rnacentral:rRNA from 1 species
UGGGGAAUUUUGGACAAUGGGCGAAAGCCUGAUCCAGCAAUGCCGCGUGUGUGAAGAAGGCCUUCGGGUUGUAAAGCACUUUUGUCCGGAAAGAAAUCCUUGGCUCUAAUACAGUCGGGGGAUGACGGUACCGGAAGAAUAAGCACCGGCUAACUACGUGCCAGCAGCCGCGGUAAUACGUAGGGUGCAAGCGUUAAUCGGAAUUACUGGGCGUAAAGCGUGCGCAGGCGGUUUGCUAAGACCGAUGUGAAAUCCCCGGGCUCAACCUGGGAACUGCAUUGGUGACUGGCAGGCUAGAGUAUGGCAGAGGGGGGUAGAAUUCCACGUGUAGCAGUGAAAUGCGUAGAGAUGUGGAGGAAUACCGAUGGCGAAGGCAGCCCCCUGGGCCAAUACUGACGCUCAUGCACGAAAGCGUGGGGAGCAAACAGGAUUAGAUACCCUGGUAGUCCACGCCCUAAACGAUGUCAACUAGUUGUUGGGGAUUCAUUUCCUUAGUAACGUAGCUAACGCGUGAAGUUGACCGCCUGGGGAGUGCGGUCGCAAGAUUAAAACUCAAAUGAAUUGACGGGGUCAUAGCUGUUUCCU